GUGGGGAAUAUUGGACAAUGGGCGAAAGCCUGAUCCAGCCAUGCCGCGUGUGUGAAGAAGGUCUUCGGAUUGUAAAGCACUUUAAGUUGGGAGGAAGGGCAGUCAGUUAAUACCUUGCUGUCUUGACGUUACCAACAGAAUAAGCACCGGCUAACUUCGUGCCAGCAGCCGCGGUAAUACGAAGGGUGCAAGCGUUAAUCGGAAUUACUGGGCGUAAAGCGCGCGUAGGUGGUUCAGCAAGUUGGAUGUGAAAGCCCCGGGCUCAACCUGGGAACUGCAUCCAAAACUACUGAGCUAGAGUACGGUAGAGGGUGGUGGAAUUUCCUGUGUAGCGGUGAAAUGCGUAGAUAUAGGAAGGAACACCAGUGGCGAAGGCGACCACCUGGACUGAUACUGACACUGAGGUGCGAAAGCGUGGGGAGCAAACAGGAUUAGAAACCCUAGUAGUCC
rnacentral:rRNA from 1 species